AUGCCGCGUGUGUGAAGAAGGCUUUCGGGUUGUAAAGCACUUUCAGUGAGGAAGAAAGCCUUGGGGCUAAUACCCCCAAGGGACGACAUCACUCACAGAAGAAGCACCGGCUAACUCCGUGCCAGCAGCCGCGGUAAUACGGAGGGUGCGAGCGUUAAUCGGAAUUACUGGGCGUAAAGCGCGCGUAGGUGGCUUGAUAAGCCGGUUGUGAAAGCCCCGGGCUCAACCUGGGAACGGCAUCCGGAACUGUCAGGCUAGAGUGCAGGAGAGGAAGGUAGAAUUCCCGGUGUAGCGGUGAAAUGCGUAGAGAUCGGGAGGAAUACCAGUGGCGAAGGCGGCCUUCUGGACUGACACUGACACUGAGGUGCGAAAGCGUGGGUAGCAAACAGGAUUAGAUACCCUGGUAGUCCACGCCGUAAACGAUGUCGACUAGCCGUUGGGGUCCUUGAGACCUUUGUGGCGCAGUUAACGCGAUAAGUCGACCGCCUGGGGAGUACGGCCGCAAGGUUAAAACUCAAAG
rnacentral:rRNA from 1 species